UACUCCUACGGGAGGCAGCAGUGAGGAAUAUUGGACAAUGGAUGGAAAUCUGAUCCAGCCAUGCCGCGUGCAGGAAGACGGCCCUAUGGGUUGUAAACUGCUUUUGUAUGGGAGCAAUAAGGGCUACGUGUAGUCCGAUGAGAGUACCAUACGAAUAAGCACCGGCUAACUCCGUGCCAGCAGCCGCGGUAAUA
rnacentral:rRNA from 1 species